rnacentral:tRNA from 5 species
AGCGGGGUGGGGUAGCCAGGAAAUCCCGACGGGCUCAUAACCCGUAGAUCAGUAGUUCAAAUCUACUCCCCGCUA